rnacentral:lncRNA from 1 species
AAGGUUAAAGAGCAGGAAGAUGUUUCAGAGUUGUUGGGGCUUUAUUGUAGUCAGCUGAGACCCAGCCCAGGAGAAAAAUGUGCACUCCUCUGGGACUGGCUCCUCUAAGAUCACUAUCAGGAUGCCGGGCCAUGUAGGAAUCAAUGUUUCAGAGGGUUAGAGUUUGAAAUGCCUGCAUUUAUGUGCUACCCCUUGAGAGCCCCAGAGGCUGUACAAACACACUCAGGGCAUUAAGUGCUCCUUGAAGUGCCUUCCUCAGAAACUAUGCUUUCAGAGAAAGAUACAUUUCCGUAAAGCCAAACCCCAGUCCAUGGCUCUCAGUGGCUGUCUCCGAGUGCCGGAGGUGCCUCCCCAUUGGAUGUCCCGUUGCUGGAACACCAGAGAAGGUGAGUGAUUCUCAAGUGAAUCGAAGCCUAUUAGAAUAGCCUAUGACAUAAGCCUUCUAGAAUUUUCAAUGGGCUGAUGCUUGUAGUGUUGGCGGCCUGUAGGGGUCAGCUCCUACUUUUGGCUACUGAACUCCCACGUUCCUUGGGAAGCCAUUUCUUCCUCCUGUGAAAUUUAAGGAGAAUGAGUUUAUGUCUAGCUCCAGAGGAGAACACAGGACCAGCCAAGGCUUCACACCCCUGCCUACAAGCACGCAUUCAGAAGAAAGCCAGUUCCAUACGCCAUUCAAACCCAAGAUUCCAUCCUGGAGCUUCCCGGGUGCUGUUGGAAGCCUUUAGUCUAUGAGACUCUCAGCUGGGAGAAAGUCCUCAGAUGCUGAGGGACUGCCUGCCUCA